rnacentral:lncRNA from 1 species
UGCGAAUUUUCAUACAAGAGGAUAAAAAUGGUGUUCUGGAUUUUUGGACCCCUUUAUUUGAAUGCGAUGAAAAAGUAAUUGUCUACAUUAAAGACUAUAGAAGAGUCUUUGAUAUGGGUAAAUUUCUGUUCCUUUGCCAAAAUAUGUUAUGGGAUUUUCAAUUUCUCCAAAUUUGUUAAAUUACAUGAGAAACCCUUGAUUUUCUGUAAGUAGGAAUUUGAGUUAAAGAUUGAACAUUACUUGUUAGAAGACUUAAAAUCUUUACAUAAUUUAUGGGACGAACUUUGUUUAUUCAAGGGUUCUUUAACUAAAAGGAGAUAAGAUUAAGGAAUUGCAAAUUGACGCAGUUCCUUUUUUUUUUUAUUUUGGGAGAAGGUUCAUAUUUUUUCCUUUUAUUAGCCCGCAUUGAUGAUAGAGAUACUCCUCGGCAACCAAACUUGUAUCUUGGAGCAAUAUGAUGGAGUCAUCUGUGUAAGUGAAACAUGUUAUUAAUUUGCCAUUCUAAUACGAUUCUAAUCCCCCUUUUUUCCCAGUUAGACAAAUUAGAAGUUCCUUGUUUAAAGUUUCCGAUUUGUAUUUCUCUUUUUAGUGCGGUACUGCCUAUUGUGUGCAAGGAAGGUCCGAAAAGAAAAAGACAAGAAUGGAGGUAUGCCUGGUGCAUUAUUUUGAUAAUCGAAUCGCCUUUAGCAGGCAUUUUCAAUUAUGCAUUGAUUUGAAGCUGAUGUGUGUUUAAACAUUUGUGUUGUAUUUUCUGGAACGAAGAGAAUGUAAAUAUGACCAGAAGACUUCGAAAGACUUUUUGAAGGUCGAUUAUAUUUCUGAUAUCAUUUUUUCUCGAGUACUGAAAUUUAUCCUCUUCAACGUAGAAAGGAGAUUCUGAGCAACCCUUCUAAACUGGAAUGAUAGUGUAAGCAGUUAUUUUCUUCAUUAUAAUACUUGUCUAACUCUUGCAAAAUAUAGAUAAACAUGUGUUGGCUAUUUUGUUUGAGAUUGCUCGAAAGAUAGGUUUUUGGCAUUGCAGGUUCAUGUUAACUCCAGACAGAAAUUUUGUACAAGUACUAUUAAAUUGUAGUACAUGCAAUGCAAGUUUGAGAGGAGAUACUUGCCGAGAUUUGUGCUAAGCUUUCAACUCCAAAACGUCUCAAGUAGCUUGUAGAACAUUUCUUCCGAUCCUAGAGGCAAUGGUGUACUGUGUUGCUUUACGGUGGGGUGGGAAAAAUAUGCAGGGAAUAUGCAGGGGCUAAAAUUAUAGUUGUUGAGGAUACAUAUUUUUUUAGUUCAUUAAUUAAGGGUUGCCUGUCAUUUGAGUCUACGAGUUCUCAUGUUGAUAUAUCACUCAUUACCACUUGAUUCAAUUCUUAUAUAUUUUAGCAAUUCAAUUCUUAUAUAUUUUAGCAAUUCUUAUAAAUUUCAUUGGUGCAUGAAUUAUCGAAUUUAGACAUGAACAUUUUACCCUUUUAUACCCACAUAACUCAAUUUUACUGUUCUGAGAUAUGCAUUUUGAGGCAUUUGAACAUGUUUUUGUUAUCUAUUUUCACUGACAACUUUUAGUUAAUGGUUGCUAUUAUUAAAUGGUCAAGCAAUUAAGUUUUGUUUUUGAUUCUUUUUUCCCAUUUCUUGCAUACCCUUUUUUCUACUAAUUUCAUAUGUGCAUAAAUGGUCGAAUUUAGACUUUAACAUUUCAUCUUUUUUCCCCCCCUCUAUCCUAUAGCUCAUUUUAACUAUUUUAUGAUACCUGCUCUGAAACAUCUGAACAUUUGUUGAUUAUCUAUCUUCAGUUGAAUAUUAUGUAAUGGUUGCAGCUAUCAGAUGACCGAGCAAAUACGUUAGGUUUUUAAUCAUUUUUCUAUGUUUCUAGCACGCCAUUCCUUCUAUUGCUACAUUAAAGUUUCUACUGGAUUCUCUCCUCUCUUCAUAGUUAUUUUAUUUCACAGCAGUUUUGUUCGCAUUGUUUUUUGCGUCUAUGAUCUAUCUGUGUUUUAUUGUGCUAUAAAAGGUACUACUAGAUUUCUCUCCUCUCUUCAUAGUUCUAUUUAUUCUCACGGCAGUUUUGUUGACAUUGUUUUUUGCCUCUGUCUAUCUGUGUUUUAUUGUGCUAUAAAAUCUCAAUGUGCUAUGUUUUUUGAAUUUGGUUUUUUAGUAAGUAAUUUCAAUCCUUGGUGUAUUCAUGUGCUUAAGCUUGAUGAACUAAUCAUCACUACUAAAAGAAGAGUGUGUUGGUUUUGGCACUGUUUACAUGGAUGCGUGCCAAGUUACAGUUUGCCUUUUUUUUUUUGGUUCCAUAUUUUCAUCCAAUACGUCAUCGUAUUGUACUUGACUUUUCUUUUCUUUCAAGCCAUUUCUCGUUACUCUCUCUGAAAAUCUCUUUGAUAUGUUUCAUCUCUCUUUCUUCUCUGUUGUUCUCCAUUUCCCCAUGCAACUACCGAUGUGUCUUUCACUUUCCCUAUAUUAAACUUACGAUUUUUGUGAAAUGCUUAGCUUUUAAAAUUUAGGGAAUUUUUGGUUUUUUUGGUGUGUGUGUGUGAGUUAAUGAUUUUGAGGUUCAGGUAAUUGGUUCGACUUAGACUACGGAGACAUCUUUUCAUCAACGAAUGAUUCACCGAAAGUGGAGGACAUGGUAAAUGAUGCUGUGGCGAAGGAAUCUGCGACGGAUGAGGUUUGAUCUGUUGAUCUAGCCAUCGAUUAUGGUGCAAAGCAAUUGGAUGUGAAGAUAUCGCCAAAGGCAGCGGUGGAAGGUGAGCCUUUGAGUUCUCCGAUAACUAUAGGUAUGAUUUCUAUAUCUACACGUGCUUUAUCAUGGUUUUUUUUUUUUUUCAAUAUUCUUUAGUGGCUCCCUUCUGGAAAUAUGUUUGGGUUAGUAUAUUCAGUUCUGGGUUUUUAUUAAUCUUCGGUGAAUUGUAUAGUGGACUUGAUGCUAUUCUUUGAUGCUUU